UACGUAGGGGGCAAGCGUUGUCCGGAUUUAUUGGGCGUAAAGAGCUCGUAGGCGGUUCGAUAAGUCGGGUGUGAAAUCUCCAGGCUCAACCUGGAGGCGCCACCCGAUACUGUCGUGACUUGAGUUCGGUAGAGGAGUAUGGAAUUCCCGGUGUAGCGGUGAAAUGCGCAGAUAUCAGGAGGAACACCGAUGGCGAAGGCAGUGUUCUGGGCCAGUACUGACGCUGAGGAGCGAAAGCGUGGGGAGCAAACAGG
rnacentral:rRNA from 1 species